rnacentral:rRNA from 1 species
GUAACGUCAAGGCCGGCCAAUAUUAGUGACCAACUUUCCUCCUCACUGAAAGUGCUUUACAACCCGAAAGCCUUCUUCACACACGCGGCAUGGCUGGAUCAGGGUUGCCCCCAUUGUCCAAUAUUCCCCA